rnacentral:lncRNA from 1 species
UUUGCUAUAAAUAGAGGUCCAAUGCCUCAGUUUGAAGGACCUUGGGCGCCAACUUUGCCUCCAACCAUUGAAACCCUCUCCAUUCAAAGGAAAACCUGAUAAAUUUCAAUUGAAAUUUGAGUUUGAAUCUCACUGUUUGGAGAUUCAAAAACCCCAGGAUCCAAAGCCUUGCACCAUUCUUAAUCCACUUCUACAAGCUCCACAAGCAAGAU